rnacentral:rRNA from 1 species
UAGGGAAUCUUCCGCAAUGGGCGAAAGCUUGACGGAGCAACGCCGCGUGAGUGAUGAAGGUCUUCGGAUCGUAAAACUCUGUUGUUAGGGAAGAACAAAUGUGUAAGUAACUAUGCACGUCUUGACGGUACCUAAUCAGAAAGCCACGGCUAACUACGUGCCAGCAGCCGCGGUAAUACGUAGGUGGCAAGCGUUAUCCGGAAUUAUUGGGCGUAAAGCGCGCGUAGGCGGUUUUUUAAGUCUGAUGUGAAAGCCCACGGCUAAACCGUGGAGGGUCAUUGGAAACUGGAAAACUUGAGUGCAGAAGAGGAAAGUGGAAUUCCAUGUGUAGCGGUGAAAUGCGCAGAGAUAUGGAGGAACACCAGUGGCGAAGGCGACUUUCUGGUCUGUAACUGACGCUGAUGUGCGAAAGCGUGGGGAUCAAACAGG